GACGAACGCUGGCGGCGUGCCUAAUACAUGCAAGUAGAACGCACAGUUUAUACCGUAGCUUGCUACACCAUAGACUGUGAGUUGCGAACGGGUGAGUAACGCGUAGGUAACCUGCCUGGUAGCGGGGGAUAACUAUUGGAAACGAUAGCUAAUACCGCAUAAUAUUAAUUAUUGCAUGAUAAUUAAUUGAAAGGUGCAAUUGCACCACUACCAGAUGGACCUGCGUUGUAUUAGCUAGUAGGUGAGGUAACGGCUCACCUAGGCGACGAUACAUAGCCGACCUGAGAGGGUGAUCGGCCACACUGGGACUGAGACACGGCCCAGACUCCUACGGGAGGCAGCAGUAGGGAAUCUUCGGCAAUGGACGAAAGUCUGACCGAGCAACGCCGCGUGAGUGAAGAAGGUUGUCGGAUCGUAAAGCUCGGUUGUAAGAGAAGAACGGGUGUGAGAGUGGAAAGUUCACACUGUGACGGUAGCUUAACAGAAAGGGACGGCUAACUACGUG
rnacentral:rRNA from 1 species